rnacentral:rRNA from 1 species
UACGUAGGGUGCGAGCGUUAAUCGGAAUUACUGGGCGUAAAGGGCGUGCAGGUGGUCUGUUAAGUCUGGCGUGAAAGCUCUCGGCUAAACCGGGAGAGGUCGUUGGAUACUGGCGGACUAGAGGACGGUAGAGGUGUGUGGAAUUCCGGGUGUAGUGGUGAAAUGCGUAGAGAUCCGGAGGAACACCAGUGGCGAAGGCGACACACUGGGCCGUACCUGACACUAAGACGCGACAGCAUGGGGAGCGGAACGGGA